ACAAGGAUUCCCCUAGUAACUGCGAGUGAAGCGGGAAAAGCUCAAAUUUAAAAUCUGGCGGUCUCUGGCCGUCCGAGUUGUAAUCUAGAGAAGUGUUACCCGCGCUGGACCGUGUACAAGUCCCCUGGAAUGGGGCGUCAUAGAGGGUGAGAAUCCCGUCUCUGACACGGACUACCAGGGCUUUGUGGUAUGCUCUCAAAGAGUCGAGUUGUUUGGGAAUGCAGCUCAAAAUGGGUGGUAAAUUCCAUCUAAAGCUAAAUAUUGGCGAGAGACCGAUAGCGAACAAGUACCGUGAGGGAAAGAUGAAAAGAACUUUGGAAAGAGAGUUAAACAGUACGUGAAAUUGCUGAAAGGGAAACGCUUGAAGUCAGUCGCGUUGGCCGGGAAUCAGCCUCGCUUUUGCGUGGUGUACUUUCUGGUUGACGGGUCAGCAUCAAUUUUGACCGCUGGAAAAAGGCUUGGGGAAUGUGGCAGCUCCGGCUGUGUUAUAGCCCCUUGUCACAUACAGCGGUUGGGAUUGAGGAACUCAGCACGCCGCAAGGCCGGGUUUCGACCACGUUCGUGCUUAGGAUGCUGGCAUAAUGGCUUUAAGCGACCCGUCUUGAAACACGGACCAAGGAGUCUAACAUGCCUGCGAGUGUUUGGGUGGAAAACCCGAGCGCGUAAUGAAAGUGAAAGUUGAGAUCCCUGUCGCGGGGAGCAUCGACGCCCGGACCAGAACUUUUGGGACGGAUCCGCGGUAGAGCAUGUAUGUUGGGACCCGAAAGAUGGUGAACUAUGCCUGAAUAGGGUGAAGCCAGAGGAAACUCUGGUGGAGGCUCGUAGCGAUUCUGACGUGCAAAUCGAUCGUCAAAUUUGGGUAUAGGGGCGAAAGACUAAUCGAA
rnacentral:rRNA from 1 species